GACGAGGAUGAAUAUUGCUUUAUUCUGACACCUCUUGUAUGAGAUGGAUCUUAUGAUCCAUCCUUGAGCACAUUAUGCAACUCUCUGAGUCUUGUUUAUCAAAUUGUACUUUUUUCUCUGAAGCACGGACACUCUUCAAAUUAGGUUUGUCUUGUGUCCGUGUUGUGUCGGUAUCUGAGGUCUAUAGUUUUUGUUUAAUUUAUUUUUUCUGUUCUUAUUGAAACAAUUUUUCUAAGCCUAAUAUUGCAAUUCUUUGGUCAUCGAUAUGUAUGUCAAGGAAUCUAUCAUUAGGCAAUAGUAAUGUUUGUUUUACACGUGCACGUGUAAAUUAUGCGUGCACUCUAUCUUUAGCUCCUGAUAUCCUUUUCUACGGGAUUUUCCGGUGACGAGAUAGAUACAAUUUUUUCUUUUUUGAAUUAAAUGUUUUAUUUUAACUUGUGAUGAUGUUGUUGAAUGAUGAAAAAAUUGACGGAUUAUUACUGAUAUUAUUCAUAUAUGAUAAUCUUAAUCAGCUACUUCUGACUACAUCAAUCAAAAAUAUUUGAGUGUUUUUUUUUAUUCUUUUUCAAAUAUUUUAUGAUUGUUAAUUUUGUUAUGAGUUUGGAGCCUGUGAUGUUAUAAAAUAUUUGCUACUCUUGAUGGGAUCACCCAUGUGAUGAUUAUUUAUCCACCAAGAUCUCUGAGGCU
rnacentral:lncRNA from 1 species